rfam:Nippostrongylus brasiliensis genome assembly, scaffold: NBR_contig0009345
GUCUCAGUAGCACAAUGGUCAGUGCACAGCCCCGGAUAAGAUGAGAAGCGGGUUCGAUCCCCGCCUAAGAUG